rnacentral:rRNA from 1 species
GACGAACGCUGGCGGCGUGCCUAAUACAUGCAAGUCGAGCGCAGGAAGCUGACGGAACUCUUCGGAGAGAAGGCAGUGGAAUGAGCGGCGGACGGGUGAGUAACACGUAAGGAACCUGCCUCAAGGAUUGGGAUACCUCCGAGAAAUCGGAGCUAAUACCGGAUCGUUCAACGGACCGCAUGGUCCGCUGACGAAAGGCGCUUCGGCGUCUCCUUGAGCUGGCCUUGCGGUGCAUUAGCUAGUUGGUGGGGUAACGGCCCACCAAGGCGACGAUGCAUAGCCGACCUGAGAGGGUGAUCGGCCACACUGGGACUGAGACACGGCCAAGACUCCUACGGGAGGCAGCAGUAGGGAAUCUUCCACAAUGGACGAAAGUCUGAUGGAGCAACGCCGCGUGAGUGAUGAAGGUUUUCGGAUCGUAAAACUCUGUUGUAAGGGAAGAACACGUACGAGAGGGAAUGCUCGUACCUUGACGGUACCUUACGAGAAAGCCACGGCUAACUACGUGCCAGCAGCCGCAGUAA